rnacentral:piRNA from 1 species
UUUCCACGAUUUUUGUCACUC